GCCCUACUGCUUCUCCAGAAACUUCCGCUUCCGCUUCUUAAAAAGAACAGAACACAAAAACACACCUUCUGAAAGUAAACAAGUUCCGUUGCUCCCACUUCUCCCAGUUUUACUAUUAAUUAAAAUAAAAAUAAAAUGUUCAAGAAGGCGAUUGAGGCAAAAUCUCAUCAGAGACUCUCUGGAGCUGACCGGAAAAAGCUCAAACGAACUAUCAGAGACCGCUUUCAUCGGGCCUCCGAUGCUGAUAUAGAUGCUUUGCUCCCUCCCAAAGCGGAAAUUACUGUUUCAAAGUUUGUAAAUAGGGUUCAUUUAUAUGGUGUUGAAGGUAGCUUUCCUAUGUUUUUCGAUGUUGAUGGCCGAGGCUCUGAAAUUUUCCCCACAGUUUUUGCCCUCUGGAAGGUCCCUGAGAUGUUGCCUUCUUUCAUUCUGAAAGGGGGUGAGGUAUCUCGAUUUGUCAUUGGAGGAGCAGAUCUGAUGUUUCCUGGUAUUAGUAUACCUGCUGAAGGCCUUCCUUCUUUUCUAGAAGGUGAGCCAUGGGCUGUAAAAGUUCCUGGGAAUCCAGCACCUAUUGCCGUUGGGUCUACCACUAUGAGCACUGCUGAAGCCUUGAAGGCUGGUUUGCGCGGAAAGGCCUUACGGAUAACUCAUUAUUAUCGGGAUUUACUUUGGGAGUCAGUUGAGGGACAUUAUGUGCCAAAUGCAGGUUUCCUUGAAGAUGUUGUCUUUGAGGAUCCUGUAUUCUUAUCAUCUGCCCAGGUUCCUGAUUCAUGUGAAGGUUCUGGUGAUUCUUCAAAUCAUGAGAAUGAUGGUGUUGACAGCAAAGAAGUUGGGGAAUCUGCUGAUGUAAAAGAUCCCAUAUCAGACAGUCAUCCCACUUCCAAGACACAACUUGAUUCUGAUACUGAUAUUGUAGAACAAGUAACAAAAGCUAUAGGUGGUUUUAAGGUUACGGAUAAUAUUGCUGCUGAUGAAUCCACCACAGUUGUUGAAGAACAGCAUACUUUGUCUGCUGAAGACUUAGAUGCUUAUUUGGACAAAUGUCUUUUGCAAGCCCUGCAUACAACUGUCAAUGACAAAGAUCUUCCAAUGCCAGGAAGCACUUUAUGGUCCAACCAUGUAUUACCUUGUAGACCUUCAGGUAUCACACUAGAUAUCAAAAAAUCAUCACACAAGAAAUUGUCCAAGUGGUUACAAGCUAAAUCAUCUUCAGGAUUGAUUUCGGUAAAAGAAGACAAAUAUAAAAAGGAAACUGUCCUAUUUUCUGUGAACCGCAGUCACCCAGACUACUUAUCCUUCAAACCAGAAAGAAGGCAGGAGCAGAAGGUUGAUCAGGGUGGUGAUCAGGCUGUUAAAGAAACCCGAUCACCAAAACUGCUUGAAGUGUCUGAGAUUUAUAAACCAAGUGUACAUGUCAAUCCCAUUUUUGCUUUUGUUGGAGCUGAUACUGGGAAGCUAUACAGUGCUUCAGAAGCCUCUGAUGUUGUAUUCAAGUACAUUGAGAAAGGACAUCUGGUAAAGCCAAUGAACAAGUCCAUUGUGGUUCUGGAUCCAACCUUAUGUGAUGCUUUGUUCAAGGGAGCUAUCAAGAAAGGAUCAGCAUACCCGACUGAGAUUCAUAAGAAAGAUUUAGGAUCUACAUUUGUAAGCCGGAUGCAGGCCCACUACAUUGUAACCAGAGGAAGCGAAUCAGUUGUUCGUAAAGGUUCAGUGAGAACAAUUCAGAUAUUGACUGAAAGACGUCAAGGUAACAAGAAGGUGACAAAACUCUCAGGCAUGGAAACAUUCUUGAUGGAUGCUGAUGCAUUAGCAUCAGAACUGCAGAAAAAGUUUGCUUGUAGUACAUCAGUGUCAGAGUUACCAGGUAAGAAAGGGCAUGAGGUUCUUAUUCAAGGUGGUGUAAUUGAUGACCUGGCAAGACAUCUGGUUGAACAGUAUGGGGUGCCCAAAAGAUACAUUGAAGUUCUUGAUAAAACUAAAAAAUAAGAUGUGAUUAUCGUUAUACAUGUUUAAUGCAUGUGAUGUUAAACUGGAUCUGGAGCGUGCCAAGGCAAAAGGCCAUAUCACUGGGCCUUGAUUAACAAGCAGUGAUGAUGCUCUUGUGCUUGCAUGUAAAGUGGUGAUGGCAUAUACAAGUGUCACUGUCAUGAGGUUACAGGAGGCAAUGGAAUGGUGUGAUAACAACUUUCAACCUCACUCUCUAUGGUUUGUUGAAGUUAAUGGAUGCAAUCCAGAAACGGGUGCUGAAGAGAGGUUAGAAUAAUUCUUAAACUUGCCUCAAUACAAUGAAAAGAGUGUACAGAAGUUCUUGCGCUCCAGAGUAUAGGUAUAUGAAGUUUCUUUUCGUGGAGAUGAUUAGCUGUUUUAUCUUACUCGAAUUGAGUUGACUAUGGUCUGGUUUAGAGGACUGCUCAAAGCUGUGUUUUGGUAUCUGGUCAACUCUUUACCGCACCUCAUAGUUAUGCAACAUACAUUUCAACACUUCAUGUCACAAGUUGCGAAUUAAUAUGUUUAUUUGUAAGUUUUUAUGUUGACUAUGCGAGUCUUCAAUGUUACUAGGAAUGCAAGUGUGCAUUGUAAAGAUCA